AUUGUUCAUGCAGAGUAAAUGACCCCUAUUGUUUUUGGGGUCACUCCGUUAAAGGUCAAGGUCACAGGGGCCUGAACAUUGAUAACCAGUUCCGAUCAAUAACUUGAGAACCACUCGACCCAGAAUGUUGAAACUUCAUUGGAUGAUUGAACAUGCAGAGUAGAUGACCCCUAUUGAUUUUGGGGUCAGUCAAUUAAAGGUCAAGGUCACAGUGGCCUGUUCAUGUAAAAUCAUUUUUUAGAAAUAACUUGAGAACCACUUGACCUACAAUGUUGAAACUUAAUAGGAUGAUUGGACAUGCAGAGUAGAUGACCCCUAUUUAUUUUGAGGUCACUUGAUCAAAGGUCAAGGUCACAGGAGCCUGAACAGUGACUUGAGAACCACUAGGCCAAGAGUGUUGAAAUUUAGCGGGAUGACUGGACAUGCCAAGUAGAUGAUCCCUAUUGCAGCCAACCAUCAGUGUCUCUUUGACUUUCGCUCCUGACCCCUAUUGACUUCUUGCCUAUAGGACUUUGCAUUGGGGGAGACAUGCGCUUUUUUACAAAAGCAUUUUCUAGUUGUCAUUGUCAUUGAUAGCUCUAGCUGCUUAAGAUAUUUCACUAUCCAGCAUUAAAAUAGUCGAAUGCACUGUAACCUCUUACAGCUUUUGUUAAAAUCAGAACAGCGUUUAAUUUGAACUGAUAGGAAACAAAAAAACUGACAGCAGUCAGACAGUCAGACAACAAGUAAAAUGGGGCAAAAAAUGUUCAAAAGAGGCAAAUUAGCUAAACAAGAAAACGUCUAUCAUAUUAAGCUAUCUCAUGUAGCAACAGCUGAAUAGAUACGAAAUCCCUGACCUGUCUGAAAAUGUAUCCAUGUCAUUGGUCAGCUUCUAGUUUGUGCUCAGAAACAACUAAUGAGAAACAAUAGUAACUGUUAUAGACAAUGACACCGUUUUCUAUCAGCGACUGUAGAAAACAGAUCUGUUAUCAUAAAACUUCAGUGGAUGGUUGUCCCUAUUUGGGUUACGGUAUUACGUCAAAAGCCAAGAUCACAGUUACUUCAAUACUGAAAAUGGCUUCUGCUUUGCUCAAUUACUCAAGAAAACUUACAGUCACUCACUGUUGUCAAACUUAAAGGGAUGAUUGCCUGUGAUCAGUAAAGGUCAGAGGUGAAGGUUACAAUAUCCUUCAGGCUGAAAAUGGCUCACUGUACGUAACUAAAGAAUGCUUAGGUUUACUGUCAAACUUCAUAGGUUAGUAGAAUACCUCCGACUUGUUUUUGGGGAGGGGGAAUUGUCAAGUUCAUAAUAACAGUGAGACUAACAGUGCUUUCUGUUCAGUAACUGUGAAACAUCUGGUUCUCUGGCAGGCAGACUUGAUAUCAUGAUUAUCUGUGGUCAAUAGAUGAACCAUAUUGCUUUGUUUAUCAAAGGACAAUGUCACAGUGACCAUUUAAUUGAAAGUGGUUGCUGAUUAAUUAAGAAAUAAUUUGUAGCAAAAGAAAGAGUGCUUUAACACUAUUUAUGCACGGUGGGUGGUUAUACGUCUUGCGUAAUAAUUUCACGAGGGCGUAGCCCAAGUGAAAUUAUUUGUUCGACGUAAUACCGCUCGAGUGUAUAAAUAGUGUUAAAACACGGUUUUGCUAUAAAUUAUUUAAAUUCUAAUAUGCCUUUAAUCGAAAACAGUAGAUAAAAUAUAGUAGCACUCUUUCUUAGUCGCAACAAAAACUUUGACGUCACUACACCUUAACGUGACGUCAUUCUAGUGUAGGCGUGUUUUAACAGAGACAAGCAUAUUAGAAUAUGAAACAGCCAUCAACUUCAGGGUGAUUGUUGUGGUCGGUAGAUGAUUUCUAAUAUUUUUUUGGGUCUGAAUAUCAAAGAUAUAGGUGACAAUGACAUUAAGGCUGAAAACAAUAUCCAUUCUUAUAACUGAAAAUUACAUAGUUACCCAGUUUUCUCAAUCAUGCCAUCAUAGUGGCAUUUUUGUUUCACAAAUAGCUCAUUUUAUUCAUAUUUCUGUCAGUUAGAAGUGAAAGUCAGUGUUGAAUAUAUUUGCAGGUAGUGUACAUUGAUCCUCAUGGAUUAGCAUACAAGCAUGGCCUUGUACACAAACCAACCACUCUAGACGGCAAUGGUAUAUGUAACUGGAUGCUGACAGAAAUCAACAUGAGACCACUGAAUCUCUUUUUUAAAGACAGUGAAAUUGAGAGAAGGCUACUUGCAGUUGGACGAGAUAUAUCUAUUGUGGUGCAACCAUCAGACUUUGUGAAAGAACUGAAGAAACAGCUCAAAAAACUGAAAGGGUACAAGGACUAUUUGAUACAAUGAUAUAUAUAGUCUGUGACAACACAAGACAUAAGAUCAUAUCGAUGCAAUUUCUUCUUUUUGCUGCAUUCUUUUAUAAAGAUGUAAUGAAUUCAUAGAUUAUUUAUUUGCUACUACAGUAAAAGGUUCCAAGGGGAUGAGGAAUGUGCUCAAGGUAUCUAAUACUUACAGGAAUCCAAAAAGAAAGUAUAAGGAAAACUGUUAGGGACCAUUAUGAAUUUCUUUAGCAAACCUGGCACUAGAGCCCUCACUGUGGUCUUGCACUGUAAUACACUUCAGUCUUUUUUGAAACUGUUAAAUGUGUAGUUGUUAAGGAGAUGAAGUCUGUGUAGUAAAUGUAUAUGUUACUAGGUCUUAUCAUUUAUAAACACUAUCACAAAAAUGCUUUAGGCAUAUUUUACCAUCAAUUUUCUUACUUCUGGAAUGCAGUACUUAUGUAGGAUAUAACAACAAGCAGAAAGUGUGGAAAAAUGAAUAUUUUAAGUUGUAAUAUAUUACAUUGAAAUCAUUGCACCUGGCAGGAACAAACUCAUUUCUGAGUGAUGAACUGCUAUAUAUAAUUUAAUUUUUGCCUAUCUUCACCCUCAAAUUUUAUGCCUUAUGCAAAUGUACAUUGACUUAAAUUAGAUUAUUACACACUAUUGUCGUAUACUAGCCUGUCCAUAUCCCAGCAUGAGCUUUUAUAUGUUCUACAUCUUUUAAAUAUUUCUGUUUGUAUUGUUAUUCUUUAGGUCACUUCUAUUUGCAUAGCAACUUUUUAUCAUUUUGUUUUAUGUGAACUUGCCUUACUCAUAGUUAUGUUGAUGGCUAUGCUGUUGAUGGUGUAUUUUUAAGCAGAAUCAUUUAAGAAAAAAUGUAUAGAAAAACUGUGUUUUAACGUUAUUAAUACACAGAAGAUGGUUAUACUUCAGCGGAAAAAUUUCACAAGGGCGUCGCCAGAGUGAAUUAUUCUGGGGACGUAUAUCCGAUUUUGAGUGUAUUAAGUUAGGUAAAACAUGAUUUUGCUAUACAUUAUUUUGAUUCUAAUAAUUAUGCCCUCAAUCUUGAACUUUGUAUAAAAUAUGGUAGCGCUCUUUCUUGGUGACUAGUAAAACAUUGAAGUCAUUGCACGUCAAUGUGACGUCAUUAUAGCGUCAGCAUGUUUUAAGAGAAACAAGCAUAUUAGAACUAUUGUUUAUACAUAGCAUGUACUAGGUAAAUUAGUACUUACUGUCAUUGCAGUGCCUUUCAUCUGUUAAGAAAUAAUUUUGUUUUUAUUUAUUGAUGAAUUUGUUGUUGUAUAUUUUAAAUGAAAUAUUUGUGUUUUAGUCUUCUGAGAUAUAAAAACACCAGGAUUGGUUUUUUUGUUAAGAUUUGACAUAAUUUUAAGAUAGAAAGCUUCAUUUCCUUGCAUGAAUUUUUUAUUGAUGAAUAAUUCAGGUCUCGAUAUUUGAUAGCUUUGAAAAGCUAUGUUCCUUAUAUUUAGUCAGCCCAGAUACUGUGCCUGAUUGAUAUUUAACUUAAGUAAAGUUAUUUCAUUUUGUGGGCAUCAAAUUUUGUGGUUUUGCCCAAAACAGCUAUUUAUGUGGUGAUAUAAAUUUGUAGAGAUAAGAUGAAUGGGUAUUGUAUGACUGUAUUCUUUGGGAUUUAAUUUUUGUUGAUGAACACAGUCAGAACAUGCAUGAAAUUCUCACAUACAUUGUAGUAACUGUUCUUUUUGGUUAUUUGAUAAAAAUGUGUACCCGGUACAUAAUUUUAUCAGUUUAAAAAUGUAAAAGGAAAUGAUGUUGACCUUUCAAAAUACUAUCUUGUUAAAACUUCAUUCACAAUACAGGAUGCCAUUUUAUGAUGGGUCUUUUUGACUAUGAUUGAAUAAAAACCUCUGCAGCUCAAUGGAAGUGUGUCGGUUUUGAGUUCGGGAGUCCUGGCUGCAUCAAACCAAAGUCAUUAGGAAAGAUACUGAUAGCUCUCUUGCUCGGCACUUGGUAUUUCAAGAGUUGUACUAGGAGGUGAAACUACGCCAAGAAAAGUGUCUGUUACUGGAGAUACCAUAUUAGUUACACAAGAGCUUUCUUUUCUUCUUGGGACUUAAUUCCGUGGAUUGACCCGACCACAAAAUCCAUGGUAAAUAGUCCUCAAUGAAUAUUAAUGAUUUCACUGUAAACUAGGGUACUAGGCCUGUAUGAUUAAAGCUAUGAAAAUUUGUUUCUCUUUUGACUUCGGCAACACUUUUGAAAUAAUGCAGAAAAUUUACAUUCUUUUUACAUUUUUACUAAUAUCUAAAUUUUAUUUUCACCCAGUUUAUCAUUUCAGUGUCAUAUAUACAUUCUAUGCCAAACUGGGUGGAAAUGAAUAUUUUGAAAUAUUCACCCAAAUUGUGAGGGAGUAGUUUUCAAUUUUUUGAAUCUUAUAACACAGGUUAAACUUUGUUUUAUUAUUCCUAAAUUUUAUAAUAGUUGACCUCGUAUUUUAUUUUUGUUUUCCCUAUUUUCUGCUCAAAUAAAGCAUAACUGUGUUACAUUUUGUGGAGAAAUUUGUAGUAUAACCAUCAUAGACGACUGAUGAUGAAACUACUUUUACUCUGUACACUUUGUAUGACGGAAACCAUUUUACUUUUUUAAGCACCAAUAAUGAAUAAUGUUGAGAUAGUUCCAUAUUUGAGAUUUGAUAAAUAGUUUGAAAAGCUCAAUUAUCAUUAAGUUUUAUCUUUUAUUUGGUUGUACUGGUAAAUGUUUCCAAGGAGACCACAAUAUAAUAACUUGUUAUAUGAAUAAUUAUAGAUUUUAGCUUUGUUAGUACUUACUAUAAUAGUGGAUUUAGGGUUGGUUUCACAAAGGGGACUUGCAACUGAUUCUCGCAGUAGUUACGUGACUAAAAAUUUGGAUCUGAUAUUUUUAUAGUGCUUAUAGACCUGAUUAAAGUUUUCAAGAUUGAGUGAUGUAUAUUCCCACUUUCACAUAUUAGUUAUAGAUGGAAAUUUAUAUUGUACUUUGUUAUCAAAAAGUUUAUUGUAUAUUUGUGUACAGCCAGUAUUUAAUCUACUUUUUUUCUGGACUUUUUUUCAUAAUUAAUUAAUUUAAAACUGAAACAAAAAUCUGGUCUAUAUGUUCCUUUGGCUUAAUAUUUUUUAUGCCUCCUUUAGGUUUGUUGUUUUGUUAUUGUUGUUUUUCAGUGUGUCAGUAGUCCAUUUGGUUUCUGAUAGAAUACUGGAGAAUAUUUUGGCUUACAGAUUAGCUUUCAUAGAAUGAUUUCCUUGAGUCAGUUGAUAUCUUUUAAGGAUGCAGUAGAUCAAAAGUGAAUGUCAAGAAUUUCUGAUAGAUACCAGUAACGAGGGGGCUUACGCCUACAGUCCUCAAACUUCAUAGGAUUAUAUCUUGUAGUCAGUUUAUGUCUUGUGUUGCUUUGGAAUUAAGCUCAAGGUUGCAGUUUGCAAAUGCUAAGUGUCACAGCUAUAAAAAAAUUUAUAGGAUGUUUGCUUGUGGUCAGUUGAUGAACGAUAGUGUUUUUAUGAUCAUGAGGUCAUAGGUCAAGGUCAAGUUGAUCUCCAGACUGAAUAUACAUUUUGAUGAAGAGAAAAAAUGCAUCAAACCAGUCCAGUACAUCAAAAGCUAAGGUCAUAUUGACACCUUGACCAGAUAUGAUUUCUGAUUAGUAACUUAGGAAGGCUUGGGCUUGUCACAACCAAACUUAAAGGAUCUGAUUGAUUAAGAGGUAAGUGUAAAGGUCAAGGCCAAAGUGACAUUUAGACUGAAAGUUCAGACGGAAGAUGUCAAGACUUCAAAGGAUGAUUGUCUGUAGAAGAUAACUAUUGAAAAUUUAGGUCAGUGUUUUAAAGGUAAAGUCCACAGAGCAACCUUGAAGCUAAAAGGUUUCUUGUCAAUAGCUGGCUGAUACUUUAGUCUUCAAUUAUCAAACUUCAUACAAUAAUUGCCUGUGGUCAGUUGAUGAUCCCUGUUGUUCUUGGGAGUCUGUACAAAUGUCAGCUUAAGUCAAGGUUACAUUGACCCAGAGAUGCAGUAAGAUCAACGAGUUGAGAAUGCCAAGACUUUCAAAUUUCAUAAAGUGAAUGCCUGUAGUCAGUUGAUUACCCAUAUUGAUUUUGACAUCUGUGAUCAAUUUCAGAUCAGUGGCGGGAGAAUACUUUUGCAUACUGAUAUCGCCCUUUUUAUGAUUAUAGCAUGUGGUCAGUAGAUAUAUCAUUUUAUUUUGGUUUUUAGUAUGUCAAAGGUCAAGGCUACAGUAACUUUGAGCCUGGAAAAGAAUUGCACAUACAGCAGUGAAUCGUUAUACUUGUGAUAGCAUGUGGAUGUUAGAAGACCCUUUCAUUGUGUCACAGGAUACUUCAGACUAAAAGUUACAUAUUUCAAUUACCUCAUAGAGGCCAUCUUUAGAAAUUGUCCCUUGUUAUAUUUUUGUUGUUCUAUAUCUUGUUAUUGCAAUGUACAUUCUAUAUUUAUACAUAUUUUACAAGAUAUAUCUCAGAGGUGAUAGUAGAUACAGGAAUGUUUAGAUUUAUUGUUGAGCUUCUGUGCCAUGCAUUUUUAGGGACUUGUUUAAUUACUUGUAUGUAUGUUAUUAGAGCAGCAAAAGUUUUAACCAGGUAUAUAAGCCUUCUACAGUUAGUAGUUAUGCCAUAGAAUAAUAAUGUCAAGUGUCUAGUUUAUGCUUUACUUGUUUUUAUGUCCAUUACAAAUCAAUAGUUCUUGAGCUUUCAAAGUUGACUUUUGUAUGAAACUUUUUCACAUGUAAAAUAAACAUCUAAAGUAACUGUGUGUCUCUGUCUAGUAAAAAUAAAAUUUGAUACUUUUUCCUUUUAAAGUUAAUGAAUUCAAUAAUUGAAGUUAAAGGAGUGAGUUUUAGCUAAAACAUGUUAAAGUACUGUUUAGGCAUAGAUGUCUCUAUUAUUUGCAAAUGGAUGAUUGAAAUUCAAAAUUGUUGUUAUGUAAAGAUAGCUCAUUAAACGUUUAAAAUGGUUACUUUUCUUCUCAUAAUGAUAUGAGCCGUGCCAUGAGAAAACCAACAUAGUGGCUUUGAGACCAGCAUGGAUCCAGACCAGCAUGCACAUCCACGUAGUCUGGUCAGGAUCCAUGCUGUUCACUAAAGGUUUCUCUAAUUGUAAUAAGCUUUGAAAGCAAACAGCAUAGAUCCUGACCAGACUUAUGGAUGCGCAUGCUGGUCGCAAAGCCACUAUGUUGGUUUUAUAAUGGCACGGCUCAUAUUGUAAACAACAGGGAUAAAGAGUUUUUAGAAUGUUUGGCUCCUUAUUUUUAUAAUUCUUAAACAAUUAAUUGUUUUCCCCACUUACUUUAGAAGAUUUCAUCUACAAACUCGUAGAAGGGGAUAUUUCCAACUUUUCUGUUCCUGUUUGACAGACAUAAAGGUUACUCUGCUAAAUUUAUAUAAUGAACUUGUCCAUCAUAAAUUUGGACAGUACCAUUAACAAUUACUGUUAAAAGGGAUGCCUACCAAAAAGAUACUAAUGAUUUAAAUGAAGUGACACUUUGAAAGAUUGGUAGUUGUAUUAUCAUGUUGAACGGCAAUAAGAAAAGUUACAUAGGAAGGCAGAGUGACUCUGUGUUGUCAUUACAUGAUGUAAAUGAGAUGUGGAACCAAAAUUUGUAGUCCUGUUUGGCGCCAUAUAACCUAUACUGUGUUGAUGCGCCGUAAAACCCAAAUAAAUAAAUACAUCAUUUCUGUUUAUAAUUUCGUUUUCCAGUUGAAUGGAUAUAAAUUGAAAGUGAAACUCUGUUUGCAUUUUCUUCAAUUUCUUUACACCAUUGACAAAUUGGCAAGACAAAAGAAGAAUUGACUUAUAGGCCACCAGAGCUUAAGAUAGAAACAAACUUAAAUGACUUCUUUUGAACCACUGGAUGGAACUUCACCAAAGUUUUGAAAUGUAGGAUCCUUGUAUGGAUCUUUUGCAUGUUUGUUUACUUGGUUCUGCAUUGCCACUUUUUGGGGUUGUCAAAACUGAAAAUAGGAAACACCUUAAAACAGCUUCUACUUGUAAACCAGUUGAUGGAUCUUCAACAAACCUUGUAUUUGAAAUAUUUAUAUGGAACUCUCACAGAAUUAGGCAAAGGGUUCUGCUUGGCUCCUUUUAGGGGGCACCAGAGGUUAAAACUAGAAAACAAAUUAAACAAAUAUUCUACUAGAUAGAUUUUUACCACACCUAGUCUGCAGCAUUCUCAAAGUAUUUGCAAGUGGUUAUGCUUGACUGUACUGCAGGGCCAGUAUUCAAAAUGAACAGCUUGAUGGAUGUUCAAUAUAUUUGAUCAAAAGCAUCCUCUAAAAUUUGUGCAAAUGGUUCCACCUGACUUGCUCUUUCCUCCCAGGGUACUAUCUGUCACACAUCGGAUGAUCACUGUAAACAGAAUUGUUGUAUUUAAUGUGAUAGAGUGCAUUAAUCACAUAUAUUUAAGGUCAAGGUUAGGGGUGUGUCUUUUGGACCAUAAUGGCCCUUUUGUUUAAUGUUUAAUUCACACACUUUGAACCACUCUGUGCCUUAUCUCUGUUAAAGACAUGUUACAUAUUUGAGCCGCACCAUGAGAAAACCAACAUAGUGCGUUUGCGACCAGCAUGGAACCAGACCAGCCUGCACAUCCGUGCAGUCUGGUCAGAAUCCAUGCUGUUCACUUUCAAAGCCUAUUGCAAUUAGAGAAGCUGUUAGUGAACAGCAUGGAUCAUGACCAGACUGCGUGGAUGCGCAGGCUGGUCUGGAUCCAUACUGGUCGCAAAGCCACUAUGUUGAUUUUCUUUUGGGGCGGCUCAUAUCAUAUGAAUGUUAAAGAUAGAUACAGCUCUAUAGUAAUUUUAAAAAGUAUGUAUAUAGAAAUGUGAAAGGGUAAACAAAUUCUAGAGUCCAUUCAUUCUUCAUCACUUAACCUUUACCCUGCUAAAUUUCUUGUCCAUCUUUCAAUUAGGACAGUACCAUGAACUGUUAACAGGGGUGCUUACCAAAAGAAACUGAUUGAAUAGCAAACAGUGCAGAUCAUGAUCAGACUGCACAGAUGUACAGGCUGAUCAUGAUCUGCCCUGGCUGCAAAGGCAGGAUAUAUUGUGUCCAGCAUGAUAAGGGUUAAACUGAUGCUAGGUGUGAGGGACAAAAAUCUAUAAUAUCUUACGAUCAGACUCAGUGAAACUGAGUCUGCUAUCAUUAUACUUGGCUUGCAUUCUAUACUUUCACCUUUUAUAGUUCAGUUUUGCAUGUUACAAUGAAAAUAGUACAAUAAUUGUCUAAUAAUUUUAAAGCACUGGUAUUGAAGUUCUGUAGGUCACGUGUUUGUUUCAGGUAUCAUAUUGAAUGGAUACACUGUAGCUCUUGUUAGAUUUCUGUGAGCAUCUCUGAGUUUGCUGUUUGUUUCCAGAUCAGCUCAGAUUUCUAUAUUUAUAAACAGAUGGAAUAAAACAUGAAUUUAUA